rnacentral:rRNA from 1 species
UACAGAGGGUGCGAACGUUGUUCGGAAUCACUGGGCAUAAAGCGCACGUAGGCGGCACCGCAAGUGUGGGGUGAAAUCCCACGGCUUACCCGUGGAACUGCCUGGCAGACUGCGGUGCUAGAGGUUGGUAGGGGAGAGCGGAACUCUUGGUGGAGCGGUGAAAUGCGUAGAUAUCAAGAGGAACACCGGUGGCGAAGGCGGCUCUCUGGGCCGAUACUGACGCUGAGGAGCGAAAGCGUGGGGAGCGAACAGG